rnacentral:ncRNA from 2 species
UUCUUAUCCAGAGAGGUGGAGGGACUGGCCCGAUGAAACCCAGCAACCGCAUUGCAGGUGCUAAUUCCAGCAGAACAAUUUUGUUCUGACAGAUAAGAA